rnacentral:sRNA from 1 species
CCUGGGACUUGCGUCCCAGGCUAUCCCGUGUCGUCGCUUCGCGACU